rnacentral:rRNA from 1 species
AGUGAACGCUGGCGGUAGGCCUAACACAUGCAAGUCGAACGGCAGCACAGAGGAGCUUGCUCCUUGGGUGGCGAGUGGCGGACGGGUGAGGAAUACAUCGGAAUCUACUUUUUCGGGGGGGAUAACGUAGGGAAACUUACGCUAAUACCGCAUACGACCUACGGGUGAAAGCAGGGGACCUUCGGGCCUUGCGCGAUUGAAUGAGCCGAUGUCGGAUUAGCUAGUUGGCGGGGUAAAGGCCCACCAAGGCGACGAUCCGUAGCUGGUCUGGGAGGAUGAUCAGCCACACUGGAACUGAGACACGGUCCAGACUCCUACGGGAGGCAGCAGUGGGGAAUAUUGGACAAUGGGCGCAAGCCUGAUCCAGCCAUACCGCGUGGGUGAAGAAGGCCUUCGGGUUGUAAAGCCCUUUUGUUGGGAAAGAAAUCCAGCUGGCUAAUACCCGGUUGGGAUGACGGUACCCAAAGAAUAAGCACCGGCUAACUUCGUGCCAGCCGCCGCGGUAA